rnacentral:rRNA from 1 species
UACGUAGGGCGCGAGCGUUGUCCGGAAUUAUUGGGCGUAAAGAGCUCGUAGGCGGUUUGUCGCGUCUGGGUGUGAAAACUCAAGGCUCAACCUUGAGCUUGCAUCGGGUACGGGGCAGACUAGAGUGUGGUAGGGGGUGACUGGAAUUCCUGGUGUAGCGGUGGAAUGCGCAGAUAGCAGGAGGAACACCGAUGGCGAAGGCAGGUCACUGGGC